rnacentral:rRNA from 1 species
GUAGGUGGCAAGCGUUGUCCGGAAUUAUUGGGCGUAAAGCGCGCGCAGGCGGUCCUUUAAGUCUGAUGUGAAAGCCCACGGCUCAACCGUGGAGGGUCAUUGGAAACUGGGGGACUUGAGUACAGAAGAGGAAAGCGGAAUUCCAAGUGUAGCGGUGAAAUGCGUAGAGAUUUGGAGGAACACCAGUGGCGAAGGCGGCUUUCUGGUCUGUAACUGACGCUGAGGCGCGAAAGCGUGGGGAGCAAACAGGGAUUAGAUACCCUGGUAGUCCACGCCGUAAACGAUGAGUGCUAAGUGUUAGGGGGUUUCCGCCCCUUAGUGCUGCAGCUAACGCAUUAAGCACUCCGCCUGGGGAUACGGCCGCAUGGCUG